GCAGGAGGAACCAUCUGUAGUUGGGUCCUACUAUAACAAGCGGAUAGUCGGCUGCCCUGGUGGUGAGGGAGAGGAUGAACACUAUGUUGUAUGGUUCUGGUUGAAAAAAGAUGAGCCGCAUGAGUGUCCAGUCUGCUCGCAAUACUUUGUGCUUAAGGUCAUUGGUGAUGGUGGUGAUCUAGAUGUUCAUGACGAUGAAGAUGAUGGACAUCACUAAGGAUGCCUUGUGGUUCUGAAAAUAAGAACUUGGUGAGGCAGAUGAAUCCAAUACACUUCUUUUUUCUAGAACCAGACUGCUCCACGGCAUCCUUGUUUAUGAAAAGACAGUUGGCCAUCAAGCAGGUGGUAGUUUUCACCUAGGGAUUUUGUCCAAACAAAAGUUGUCUGAGAUUUGACCCAUGCGUUUCUUUAAGAGCAUCGUCGAAUAAAAGAUGAAUGCAGUCAGAUUGCUUUCUUUUGAUACAUCAUAUUGGCCCAUCGGGUGUGAUGGACAUGUAAUAUUCAGUUAUGGAACAACCCCAUUUCUAUGCUUAGCGUGCUGGGAAUUUUGCAAAAGGCCUCCUAUAUCAUUGACGAGUUUUAAGCCAGAGUUUGAUGAUCCAACAUGUUUAUGACCAUUGUUUUAAUAGUCAUGCUAUUCUGUGACAAUC